GACAGAGCAGGAUUGUUUGGUGAAUCAGGUGUUUCUCUGCCAGGCUGGAAUGGAGCCCUUUACCUGCACAAACCCUUCACAGGAGCUGAAGAGUGAACGGGUGGGGCAGGUCUGGAGCUGACUCAUUAAGCAGGGGGUGAUUGUGCGCUAACGUGCUACGCUAACGUGCUGUGCCAUUAUUAUGCCCUGAAUACGCGGCUCACACCACCAGCCAUGUAGAGGAGGAGAGAGAAAUUACAGGUGGAGGGGUCUGUGCUUUUAAGUGGCAGAGAAGGUAAACUGGUGCUAAAUGAAGACCUUGGAGUUGUUUUCCUCUGGGCGGCCAAUGAAAAUGAAAACUUGUCCUGGACUGUCGAACGCUGCCAGGAAAGAGGACGCACGCUUAUCUCCCUCAUUAGUGCCGGUGUGCAUGCGCGUGUGGGGGAAGCAGGUUUUCCAGGUAUACGGACGAGACUUUGAAACAUGCUGUGAUGGUGGCAAGGUCUGAGAAACGGGUUCUCUGCUCAUAUUACUGUAAAAGCCCGGCUUUAAAAGAGCGAGUUUGAAAACCACCGCAGUGGAAAUUAACCAGUGGACAAACUUUACUGUACUUUAAAAUAGUUUAGUUUUUUUAAAUCAUGAAAGUCUAUGAAAAAUACGGCACAGGAUUGUCUGUGCAGCUGUGUGUGUGGACAGGUGUGGGUACCAUGUGUGUGGUAACCAUAAAAUGAUUUUUGAAAGUUAUGCUCAGAGGAAGUGGAGUGAGUUUUCAGUGUUGGUGUCAAA